rnacentral:rRNA from 1 species
UGAGUGGCGGACGGGUGAGUAACGCGUGGGCAACCUGGCCUGUACAGGGGGAUAACACUUAGAAAUAGGUGCUAAUACCGCAUAACGGGGGAAGCCGCAUGGCUUUUCCCUGAAAACUCCGGUGGUACAGGAUGGGCCCGCGUCUGAUUAGCCAGUCGGCAGGGUAACGGCCUACCAAAGCGACGAUCAGUAGCCGGCCUGAGAGGGCGGACGGCCACACUGGGACUGAGACACGGCCCAGACUCCUACGGGAGGCAGCAG